UCCGGUUUAGACCGGCGGUCUCCUUAGAGUGCCCAACUAAAUGAUGGUAACUACUAGCGAGGGUUGCGCUCGUUGCGGGACUUAACCCAACACCUCACGGCACGAGCUGACGACAGCCAUGCAGCACCUGUGCAGGCUCCCGAAGGAGCACCGGCUUUCACCGGUUUCACCCUGCAUGUCAAGCCCUGGUAAGGUUCUUCGCGUUGCGUCGAAUUAAGCCACAUGCUCCGCCGCUUGUGCGGGUCCCCGUCAAUUCCUUUGAGUUUUAGCCUUGCGGCCGUACUCCCCAGGCGGGGUGCUUAAUGCGUUAGCUUCGGCACGGAGAGGGUUGAAGACCUCCCCACACCUAGCACCCAUCGUUUACGGCUGGGACUAC
rnacentral:misc_RNA from 1 species